rnacentral:rRNA from 1 species
GGACAUUAAAGUGACUGAGCGGCGGACGGGUGAGUAACGCGUGGGUAACCUGCCUCAUACAGGGGGAUAACAGUUAGAAAUGACUGCUAAUACCGCAUAAGCACACAGGAUUGCAUGAUCCAGUGUGAAAAACUCCGGUGGUAUGAGAUGGACCCGCGUCUGAUUAGGUAGUUGGUGAGGUAACGGCUCACCAAGCCGACGAUCAGUAGCCGACCUGAGAGGGCGACCGGCCACAUUGGGACUGAGACACGGCCCAAACUCCUACGGGAGGCAGCAGUGGGGAAUAUUGCACAAUGGGGGAAACCCUGAUGCAGCGACGCCGCGUGAAGGAAGAAGUAUUUCGGUAUGUAAACUUCUAUCAGCAGGGAAGAAAAUGACGGUACCUGACUAAGAAGCCCCGGCUAACUACGUGCCAGCAGCCGCGGUAAUACGUAGGGGGCAAGCGUUAUCCGGAUUUACUGGGUGUAAAGGGAGCGUAGACGGCAUGGCAAGUCUGAUGUGAAAACUUGGGGCUCAACCCCAAGACUGCAUUGGAAACUGUUAAGCUAGAGUGCAGGAGAGGUAAGCGGAAUUCCUAGUGUAGCGGUGAAAUGCGUAGAUAUUAGGAGGAACACCAGUGGCGAAGGCGGCUUACUGGACUGUAACUGACGUUGAGGCUCGAAAGCGUGGGGAGCAAACAGG